rnacentral:lncRNA from 1 species
GAGGCAACUUCCAUCCUUUUGAUAUUACAUCCAUUUCUACUUCAUCCAACUAAAUCCUUGAUACCACCAUAAUAACUUACUUUAACUCUUUGCUGCUUUUUUACUAUUAGCAACAUACUAUGCUUAAUCUCUAUGUGGUUGUAACUAAGCAAGUACUUACUGAUCUUCAACAAUAUCCCCAUCCUCAUCUUGUACCUUCUAC